CCCUAGUAGCGGCGAGCGAAGCGGGAAGAGCUCAAAUUUAUAAUCUGGCACCUUCGGUGUCCGAGUUGUAAUCUCUAGAAAUGUUUUCCGCGUUGGACCGCACACAAGUCUGUUGGAAUACAGCGGCAUAGUGGUGAGACCCCCGUAUAUGGUGCGGACGCCCAGCGCUUUGUGAUACAUUUUCGAAGAGUCGAGUUGUUUGGGAAUGCAGCUCAAAUUGGGUGGUAAAUUCCAUCUAAAGCUAAAUAUUGGCGAGAGACCGAUAGCGAACAAGUACCGUGAGGGAAAGAUGAAAAGCACUUUGGAAAGAGAGUUAACAGUACGUGAAAUUGUUGGAAGGGAAACGCUUGAAGUCAGACUUGCUUGCCGAGCAAUCGGUUUGCAGGCCAGCAUCAGUUUUCCGGGAUGGAUAAUGGUAGAGAGAAGGUAGCAGUUUCGGCUGUGUUAUAGCUCUCUGCUGGAUACAUCUUGGGGGACUGAGGAACGCAGUGUGCCUUUUGGCGGGGGUUUCGACCUCUUCACACUUAGGAUGCUGGUGGAAUGGCUUUAAACGACCC
rnacentral:rRNA from 1 species